AGUGAACGCUGGCGGUAGGCCUAACACAUGCAAGUCGAACGGCAGCACAGUAAGAGCUUGCUCUUACGGGUGGCGAGUGGCGGACGGGUGAGGAAUACAUCGGAAUCUACUUUUUCGUGGGGGAUAACGUAGGGAAACUUACGCUAAUACCGCAUACGACGUACGGGUGAAAGCAGGGGAUCUUCGGACCUUGCGCGAUUGAAUGAGCCGAUUUCGGAUUAGCUAGUUGGCGGGGUAAAGGCCCACCAAGGCGACGAUCCGUAGCUGGUGUGAGAGGAUGAUCGGCGACACUGGAGGUGGGCCACGGACCAGGGGCCUGCGGGAGGGCGCAGAGGGGAAUGGUAGACAAUAGGGGGGAACAUGGUCCAGCGGUCCCGCGUGGGUGAAGGAGGCCUUCCGGGUGGGAAGCCCUUUUGUUGGGAAAAAAAAGCAGCAGGUUAAUACCCCGCGGUUCUGACGGUACCCAAAGAAUAAGCACCGGCUAACUACGUG
rnacentral:rRNA from 1 species